CCCAGACAGCCAGGAUGUUGGCUUAGAAGCAGCCAUCAUUUAAAGAAAGCGUAAUAGCUCACUGGUCGAGUCGGCCUGCGCGGAAGAUGUAACGGGGCUAAACCAUGCACCGAAGCUGCGGCAGCGACACUAUGUGUUGUUGGGUAGGGGAGCGUUCUGUAAGCCUGUGAAGGUGGCCUGUGAGGGUUGCUGGAGGUAUCAGAAGUGCGAAUGCUGACAUAAGUAACGAUAAAGCGGGUGAAAAGCCCGCUCGCCGGAAGACCAAGGGUUCCUGUCCAACGUUAAUCGGGGCAGGGUGAGUCGACCCCUAAGGCGAGGCCGAAAGGCGUAGUCGAUGGGAAACGGGUUAAUAUUCCCGUACUUGGUGUUACUGCGAAGGGGGGACGGAGAAGGCUAUGUUGGCCGGGCGACGGUUGUCCCGGUUUAAGCGUGUAGGUGUGUGUUCCAGGUAAAUCCGGUUCACUUUAACACUGAGGCGUGAUGACGAGGCACUACGGUGCUGAAGCAACAAAUGCCCUGCUUCCAGGAAAAGCCUCUAAGCAUCAGGUAACAUCAAAUCGUACCCCAAACCGACACAGGUGGUCAGGUAGAGAAUACCAAGGCGCUUGAGAGAACUCGGGUGAAGGAACUAGGCAAAAUGGUGCCGUAACUUCGGGAGAAGGCACGCUGACACGUAGGUGAAGUGAUUUACUCA
rnacentral:rRNA from 1 species